rnacentral:tRNA from 1 species
GGGGGUAUAGCUCAGUGGUAGAGUGUGUGCUUAGCAUGCACAGGGUCCUGAGUUCAAUCCCUAGUACUGCCA